AUAAAAACCCUGUUUCAAUUGAAAGGCGUUUAAUGCAUUAGAAACUCUAGAGGACUUGAUAUUAUGGGCUACUUUUUUUCUUUUGUGAUCUUUAUUGGGAUUGCAUUGCUAGCACUUGCGAUGCCGCGACCUCCCGCUAAAGAUUGUCCAGGAGGAUGCUGGGGCUGGAAACCAAGUUAAUUAUUAUCAGAAGAAUCUACAUUUGCAUGUUUAGAGGUCAUUGGUGAACAUAUUAAGAUUCAAUGUACUGGGUAAACACUUACCAAUAAAGGACAGAACUGGGCUAAUGUGAUUAAUAAAAUAUUUACUUGUAGGAA